rnacentral:rRNA from 1 species
GGUGAACGUUGGCGGCGCGUCUAAUACAUGCAAGUCGAGCGAGGCUUCGAGCCGAGCGGCGGACGGCUGAGUAACACGUUGGUAGCUACCCCGUACUCAGGGAGUAACACUGAGAAAUACAGUGCUAAUACCGGAUGGUCCCGAAAGGGUAAAGAUUUAUCGGUACGGGAGGUGCCUGCGGCCUAUCAGCUAGUUGGUGAGGUAAUGGCUCACCAAGGCUAUGACGGGUAACUGGUCUGAGAGGACGACCAGUCAGAGGGAAACUGAGACACGGUUCCCACUCCUACGGGAGGCAGCAGUAAAGAAUCUUCCGCAAUGGACGGCAAGUCUGACGGAGCGACGCCGCGUGCAGGAUGAAGGCCUCGGUCGUAACUAGCUUUC